ACGGCCACCAGGAGGGCUGGAGGCCUCGUGGCACCGGCCACCAGUCCUGGACGUGGCACCGGGACGCAGCAGACGCAGCCCAGCUGGUGCACACAGCCUUUUAUUUUUGGGCAAGCCAGAGCCACGGAGGUGACAAAAAGGUCCAAACGCAGACAGGGAAGGGGAGCGGGGAGAGCAUCAACCUGCAGGGAGAAGUGGAGAGCCGUAAGGGAAGGGGUGGCAGCGGCUGGGGCAGGGGCAGGGGGGGUGAUAGGGGGAGGUGGGCAGUGGGGCAGGGCUUGCUUACCUCCUAGUCCUCAUCGGGAAGCGGGGUGUGGCUCUUGGUGUCCAGUAUGGAAUCCAGCGUGGAGUCGAGCGUGGGAUCCACCAUGGGAUCCACCAUGGGAUCCACCAUGGGGUCCAUCAUGGGAUCCAUCACGGAGUCCAUCAUGGAGUCCAUCCCGCUGUCUGUCCCGGUGUCCAUCCCCGUGUCCAUCCCGGUGUCCGUCUCGGUGUCCAGCCCAGUGUACGUCCCGGUGUCCUUCAUGGUGUCCUUCAUGGUGUCCAUCACGGUGUCCAUGGCGUCCAUCACAGUGUCUGCCAUGGAGUCUAUCCUGGUGUCCUUCACAGCCUCUGUCACGGCCUCCAUCACGGCGUCCAUCACGGUGCCCGGCAUGCCUUGGAGCAGCACCUGGGACACGCUGCGGCCAGCAGAGGUUAUGGGGCAGGGGGCGCAGGACCCCACCAGGUUGGGGCACCCCCUUUCUCCUUGCAGGGAGCCAGGGUUUGAUGCCCUCCUGCUUUUAAUUCCUGACUGAUAAAAUGAGGGUGAAAGGGAUCUGGGCCUCUCCCCUACUGAGGGACCACAAGCCACAAACCCACGUUUGGGCAAAGGGAGCCCUCCCAAAAAAUCCACGCCAAGGGGACCUCACCCGUUUUUAGCUUGCUCCUUCCUGUCCUCCACCAGAUCAUCCUCCAGCAGGCUCGAGACGCGAUGGACACGGGUCUGGCUGCAAGAACCACUCCUCAGAUGCUGCCACAGCCACUGCUGCCCCCAGCACCCCAUCCUGGUGCCCUGUGCCCCCCCGGGGCUUUACCUCCACCUCAAGUACUGGACCUUCAUCCUGUCCUCCACAAGGACCUGCCCGUGUGGCUGCACCCCACGGUCAGCAUCACCCUGGGGGAAUGUCAGGAUUCAGGCAGCCCCCCAGGACCUCCCAUCCCAGCACCACAGAGGGGUUUAUUGGGGUCCCAGGUGUUGCUGUGGGUGCUGACCUGGGGGCUUGGACCACCGGCUUGCUGGGAGGCUGGAGGAGCUGCUGCAGGCUCUGCUUGGGGCUCUGCCCAGGGCUCUGCCUGGGGCUCUGCCCAGGGCUCUGCCCGUGGUUCUGCCCGGGGCUCUCCUUGGGGCUCUCCUUGUGGCUCUGCCUCAGGCUCUGCCCAGAUUUCCAGCACCCUCUGGAACAACCUGGAGAGCAGCUCUUCACCCUGCGAAGGGAGCAGAGCUGCAGGCUGGCUGUGGCUGCACCAGGGGCUGCAUCUCAACACGUGGCACUGGCUCGGUCCUCAAAAAAAAAAUGCCCUGGAUAUAAAGCCCAGGCUCCCCCCAACCCCUACGGGCAUUCUCCUGCCUCAUCUUCACCUUGCGCAGACACCAACUGACCGUGGCCAAUGCAUCCACAUCCUCCACGGGGCCAUCCUGGAAGAGGGGAACCCGGUGAGCCCCAGGACUCACCCAGGGUCCAAACCUGCCCCAAGGAGCCAGGGGGCACAGCCCCUGCUGCCCCCUGCUCACCGGUGCACUGUUGGUGGGGAUGUGCCCGCCGGUGCCUUUCCGUGCCGCGAUGUACGCCAGCCACAGGGACACGAUCAUCCUGGGCACCCUGCCCCGGGGCAGCCCCCGGCACCGCCGGCACCCCCGGAUUGUUGGGUCAGAGCCGGAACCGGCACCACGGGGCUCCCGGAGCAACGGGGAGAAGGGUGGGGGGGGGACCCAAUCCUGCCCCGCUCAGCGUAAAGCUGCCACUGCCCCGAGCUGCAGCACCACUUGGAGAGGGUGGCAGGGAGCAAAGCUCUCGCCCCACCAGUGAUCUUGCCCCAAGAAAGUCAUGAAACAUGGAUGGAGGUUGGGGAGAAGCGCCUCCACCUCCACCCCAUCACACCUGUGGCUGUGGGAUUGAGGGCACCCGAUGGAAUUCAACCCAUGGCACCCACCCGACCCCCAGACCCCAAGGGACAAGCAUCCUCCCCUCUCUCUGGCAACAGCCCCAGAGCAGCCCAUCUGCUCCCAAGAGCCCCAGCCCAACCCAAUGAUGUCAAACGGACUUCAUUUUUUAUUAUUUUUUUUUUUUAGCAAAUGUUUAUUUAUAUCAAAAUACAAAACAUUUCUGAAGCAGGGUAAUGUUACAUGAGGAGCAAGUUAAUCAGUUCCAAAACCCAUCAUUCUCCUACAGAAUGGCUAGUUGGACGUAACAUCGCAACACCGCCAUCAUUUCUUAAGUGGGUACAUUAGAGGAGAAAAAAAAAAUAAAAAUAAUAAUAAAAAAAAAAGAAGUCA
rnacentral:lncRNA from 1 species